UACAGAGGGUGCGAGCGUUAAUCGGAAUUACUGGGCGUAAAGCGUGCGCAGGCGGUGAUGUAAGACAGAUGUGAAAUCCCCGGGCUCAACCUGGGAACUGCAUUUGUGACUGCAUCGCUGGAGUGCGGCAGAGGGGGAUGGAAUUCCGCGUGUAGCAGUGAAAUGCGUAGAUAUGCGGAGGAACACCGAUGGCGAAGGCAAUCCCCUGGGCCUGCACUGACGCUCAUGCACGAAAGCGUGGGGAGCGAACAGG
rnacentral:rRNA from 1 species